rnacentral:rRNA from 1 species
UACGAAGGGUGCAAGCGUUACUCGGAAUUACUGGGCGUAAAGCGUGCGUAGGUGGUUCGUUAAGUCUGCCGUGAAAGCCCCGGGCUCAACCUGGGAAUGGCGGUGGAUACUGGCGGACUAGAGUGCGGUAGAGGGUGGUGGAAUUCCCGGUGUAGCAGUGAAAUGCGUAGAGAUCGGGAGGAACAUCUGUGGCGAAGGCGGCCACCUGGACCAGCACUGACACUGAGGCACGAAAGCUAGGGGAGCGAAUGGG